ensembl:processed_transcript
GCCCACACGCAGGUUUCUUCCUGGUUUCUUGAAGGAACAUACAAACUUCAACAUGGAGGAAUCACGUUUGCUUUAAAAACAAGGAGGAUGAAGAGACACACAUCAGGAGGAGGAAGAUGAUGAUGAACUGAAGAAAGAGAAGCAGAUCAACAUGAGCAGCAUAAUAACAUGAAGAUCAGCAACAUCAGAAAUGAACAGAGAUGAUGAUCAACUGAUGAAGAGCAGAAGAUCAACAUGAGCAGCAGAGAGAGCAGAGCCGUUGUUCGCGGUUCUGCUCACAAGAGAAGUUGGAGCAAAGAUGUAGAGCCUCCAAACAUGAGCGCUGAUUCUCCUCUGAGGAUUCUUCUCCUGGGUAAAAGUGUGUCUGAGAACAGCCGUGUGGGGAACUUGAUCUUGGGUCGAUCAGCGUUUGACAGUGAAGCUCCUCCAGAUGUUGUGGAGAGAGUCGGAGGAAGACUGAAGCACAGACACGUGACGCUCAUCAACAGUCCUCAGCUGCUCCACACACACAUCUCAGAUGAUCAGAUCACACAGACGGUCAGAGAGUGCGUGAGUCUGUCUGAUCCAGGACCUCAUGUGGUGCUUCUGCUCCUCCAACAUCAGCAGUGUUCAGCAGAAGAUCAAGAGCGUGUGGAGAAGCUGCAGGACUCUUUCUCUGAGCGCCUUCUUCAACACACCCUGGUGCUCAGCACACAAGAGCCCACUGAACCCAAUCAGAUCCUGCAGAAGAUCAUCCAGAAGUGCUCCAACAGACACUUCAGUCUUCAGACAAGCAGCUCUGCUGAUCAUCUUCUGCAGGCCUUUGAGGACAUCGAGCGGAGCAAUGAGGGACGACACCUGAUUUCUGCAGCUCAAUACAGAGAUUCAAUGCGAGAACAGAUUGAGUUUAACGAGAGACUGAGAGAAGAGAGGGAGAGGAUGGAGAGAGAGAAAGAAGAUCUUCAGUGUAAACAUGAAGAGGAACAAAACAAGAUGAAGAUCC